UACGUAGGUGGCAAGCGUUGUCCGGAGUUACUGGGCGUAAAGCGCACGCAGGCGGUUCAGUCAGUCUGUAGGGACAGGGCACAGCUCAACUGUGUCAGGCUUACGGAAACUGCUGAACUUGAGGGCUUCAGAGGGAUGGGGAAUUCCGGGUGGAGUGGUGAAAUGCGUAGAUAUCGGGAGGAACACCAGUGGCGAAGGCGACUUCCUGGCCUGUUCUUGACGCUGAGGCGCGAAAGCUAGGGGAGCAAACGGG
rnacentral:rRNA from 1 species